rnacentral:lncRNA from 1 species
ACUAGAGUAUAAAGAUAAUCAUGUUGCGGUAGCCGAUAAUGGUAAUGUAGAGACUUUGUUGUUGGCAACUCAUGAAACUAACGAAAAGAAUAAUUGUCAAUAGGUAUUAAACUCAAGGUGUAGGAAUAAUAUGAAUAGAAACAAGGAAAUCUUCUUUGAAUUAGAUGAAUAUGUUCCUUCAAGCUCAAGUUCCACUAGAAAUAUUAUAUAGGAGUCGACUACUCCAGAAUCAACUUUAAGACAAGUAAGAAAUUUAAUAGAAAUUUAUGAGUCAUAUAUUUUCAUGCUAAUUGAGCCAAAAAGCUUUGAGAAAACCAAGAAGCAACUAAAAACUUGGGAUGAAGAAGAUGAUGUGAAGGUGGAUGAGUUUGAAGAAAAACAAAUAGAAGAUCAAGAUAAGAGUCAAAUAGGAGAAGCCAUUCAUGUCCAACUUGCUACUACAAUUAUAUAGUCUCAGGAAAAGGUUGAGGAUAUUUUUUGCUCUGUCGUGUACACAACAACUUUAUGAGAAAGAAGAACGUGAACAAAUUUUCUUAACUUCCAAUGGAGUACAUCUCCAA